rnacentral:rRNA from 1 species
AACGAACGCUGGCGGCAGGCUUAACACAUGCAAGUCGAGCGCCCCGCCAGGGGAGCGGCAGCCGGGUGAGUAACGCGUGGGAACGUACCUUUUGGUUCGGAACAACUCCGGGAAACUGGAGCUAAUACCGGAUAAGCCCUAACGGGGAAAGAUUUAUCGCCGAAAGAUCGGCCCGCGUCUGAUUAGCUAGUUGGUGAGGUAACGGCUCACCAAGGCGACGACCAGUAGCUGGUCUGAGAGGAUGAUCAGCCACACUGGGACUGAGACACGGCCCAGACUCCUACGGGAGGCAGCAGUGGGGAAUAUUGGACAAUGGGCGCAAGCCUGAUCCAGCCAUGCCGCGUGAGUGAUGAAGGCCUUAGGGUUGUAAAGCUCUUUUGUCCGGGAAGAUAAUGACUGUACCGGAAGAAUAAGCCCCGGCUAACUUCGUG